GCAGGUGUGGCAUAAUGGUUUGAGUGCUGGAAUAAGACUCUGGAGACCAGGGUUUGAUUCCCAGCUCUGCCG